rnacentral:lncRNA from 1 species
AUAUGUUUAAAUUUGAACGGACUCGCCGAAGUUUGCGUUGAAUUUGUGAUGUGUUUGCGUUGAAUUUAAGUUUCUCAAAAAAAAUGUGGGCGCCGCGGCUGGGGUGCAUCACGCCCCCAGCUCGCGGUUUAGCGCCGGUGCGUCCCCAUUGGACGAUUUUUAGCCCCUCCUAAUAGACCAACGAUUGAAGAUGCUCUAAGGCAACACACGGAUCUCGCUCGAGGAGCCCAGGGUCGCGCCGGCAUUCCGGGGCAGCGUGAGGUAGGAUGUCGCGGGCUGGAAUGACGCCAUUCGGGUUUGGACAUCCGGGCCAUGGCACCGUCGAUGGUCACCUCCCGCUAACGUGCUCGCACUCUCCACGAACGUCGAUGCCCUUGUGCCUGGAACUGCGUUAACCUUAUUAGGUACUAGAUCAUCGAUGGCGCGCGUUGCCGCACCCGUCUAUUUUGACAAUUAAAUGAUAUUAUAUUUGUAAAUAUAUAUAGAGCUAUGUACGCAAGAUGAAUGAAAACUGCGUUAACCUUAUUAGGUACUAGAUCAUCGAUGGCGCGCGUUGCCGCACCCGUCUAUUUUGACAAUUAAAUGAUAUUAUAUUUGUAAAUAUAUAUAGAGCUAUGUACGCAAGAUGAAUGAAACUUAAAUUUGUAAAUACUCAACCGUAUCAUUACUCAGUUAUCGGAGAGCAGACUUUUUGCAAGAAUGUAAAGUGGUAGUAGAGGAGAGCUGGGAUUUGUCUUGUG